rnacentral:rRNA from 1 species
GGGGAAUAUUGCACAAUGGGGGAAACCCUGAUGCAGCGACGCCGCGUGGAGGAAGAAGGUCUUCGGAUUGUAAACUCCUGUCCCAGGGGACGAUAAUGACGGUACCCUGGGAGGAAGCACCGGCUAACUACGUGCCAGCAGCCGCGGUAAAACGUAGGGUGCAAGCGUUGUCCGGAAUUACUGGGUGUAAAGGGAGCGCAGGCGGAUUGGCAAGUUGGGAGUGAAAUCUAUGGGCUCAACCCAUAAAUUGCUUUCAAAACUGUCAGUCUUGAGUGGUGUAGAGGUAGGCGGAAUUCCCGGUGUAGCGGUGGAAUGCGUAGAUAUCGGGAGGAACACCAGUGGCGAAGGCGGCCUACUGGGCACUAACUGACGCUGAGGCUCGAAAGCAUGGGUAGCAAAC